rnacentral:tRNA from 1 species
GCCGGGAUAGCCAAGCGGAGGCGACAGGCUCGAGAGUUUUUCUAUCAAGAAACCUGUUGGUCGUCUGUCAAAAUAUCUUGUGGUAUUUUGGAUGAAACCUCAUGAGUUCAAAUCUCAUUCCCGGCGCCA